GAAACCCUUGGAGGAGGAACACUGGAGAGUCCUACAAUGGAUGUCAGGACAGACAAAGCGGACCAGGAACCCUCUGGAUGGUGACGUUCUCCAGGUGCAGGACAGGCAAGAUGCACAGCCCUACAUCAGAAACUAUCUGAGAGUCAGCUUCCAAGGGGCCACUCUAAGGAUCGUCAGGAGUAGAUGGGAACCUCUACACAGAGCCUUCUGGGGAAUCUUCUAAAUCAGACACGAUUUCUCAGGGCUUGGUGUGAUGUCGACCUAUGAGGAACUGGAGGUGCAUUUGCAUUGUUGCUUUUCACAUGAGUCUUUUCUUUUGUCUUUUGCCUUGACGUAUCUGAGCUUUGGACUGUCCUGAUGCUUUGUCUGUGCUCUUCUGCUGUUUCGUGUUAGGGUUGUUGUCAAAGGUCUUAGAGCAGAUUCUUUGUUGGUUCUGUUGGCAGUGUCUCUGUAGCUCUGACUAUGGCAUCGUCAGGAGAGUUGCACAGGCCUGAUUAGGAAAACAGAGAUGUUCCAAUUUAACACCAAAUAAACAUUUUACCAAAUUCCCCCACACACUAAACCUUAACUCUAUAAUCUCUUUUUCUCACCAAAACCCAUUCACAUGUAUGUACUCGCUUAAAAACAAAAAACUGUUUAAACAACCAAAUAGGCAAAAUAUAUUUACUACGGUUCAACCGUCUGUCAUCUGUUGACACUCGAGAAUUUUCCUUUUCAGCUGUCUUUCUUUUUUCUUUUGAGCUUGUUUACACCACGGUUGAAAGGUCUCUCUUGUUCUGACUGUUCGGGGGGUAGCAGAGGGGAGAGGAGGACUUAUUACAACACACAUGAAGCAGUCUUGUAAAAUUUAAAAAUAAAAUACUAAUUAGUGUGUUUUUCUUCUGUUUAAAAGUCACUGCUUUACAAAAGCCAUUUCAGGUUGUAAAACAAACACCCUCACACAAUACUACCCCAAUUGGUUUUGUUUUUUUCCUACUAUUAGUGUUUCUCCAAAACAUAGACACAUGUUUUUAAUACAACCUCAUUUCCCCCAUGGACCCCAAAACAAAGUUUGCAACAAAAUACUUUAAC